GCACGGGCCGGCUCAACCCG
rnacentral:snRNA from 1 species